AACGAACGCUGGCGGCAGGCCUAACACGUGCAAGUCGAGCGAGACCUUCGGGUCUAGCGGCGGACGGGUGAGUAACGCGUGGGAAUAUGCCCUUUGGUACGGAAUAGCCUCGGGAAACUGAGAGUAAUACCGUAUGUGCCCUUCGGGGGAAAGAUUUAUCGCCAAAGGAUUAGCCCGCGUUGGAUUAGGUAGUUGGUGGGGUAAUGGCCUACCAAGCCUACGAUCCAUAGCUGGUUUGAGAGGAUGAUCAGCCACACUGGGACUGAGACACGGCCCAGACUCCUACGGGAGGCAGCAGUGGGGAAUCUUAGACAAUGGGGGCAACCCUGAUCUAGCCAUGCCGCGUGAGUGAUGAGGGCCUUAGGGUUGUAAAGCUCUUUCAGCUGGGAAGAUAAUGACGGUAUCAGCAGAAGAAGCCCCGGCUAACUCCGUGCCAGCCGCCGCGGUAAGAC
rnacentral:rRNA from 1 species